GGGGGGGAGCUUGAGCUGCGGUGGAGAGGCAGCGGUGGAAGGGGCUGGUUCGGUUUGCUGCUGUUUGGGAGAGGUUGAGAGUCAGGGACGAGAGACAGAGGUGGAAGGGGCUGGUCCGGUGCUGAUGAGAGGAAGAUCGGCGUGUGGGUGGUGCUGGUUUGGGGAAGAAAAGAAAAAUGAAAACGGUGAGGGGGCUGUUCGGUUUUGGAGGAGAAGGGAGAGGAUUUUUAUUUUUUUUGUGGCUUCGGGUCAGGGCUUGGAUUGCUGGUUGAAGGGAAGAAGAUGAAAAAAUAAAAAUAAAAAUGGUGAAGAAGGGGAGUAGUGAAAACCGGCUGCUGAGGGGGAAGAAAAUCAAAGAGCUAAGGGGCUCUUUUGGGUGAGCGGCUGCAGGGGAGAAGAAGAAAAUCUCCAACGGGACUGGAGACUGUGGGUGCUGCCCCCUACUGCCGGGACCCGAAAAAAUGGCUCAAAUCUUUCCACCAGGUACAAGGCUGGGGAUGAGAAGAAAUAUGGGUUUUUUUCAUUAUGAGGAGGGCCACCCUGUCGGCGGGAAACAAAGAAAAG
rnacentral:lncRNA from 1 species